rnacentral:misc_RNA from 1 species
GAUGAAGAACGUAGUGAAAUGCGAUAAGUAAUGUGAAUUGCAGAAUUCAGUGAAUCAUCGAAUCUUUGAACGCACCUUGCACUCCUUGGUAUUCCGAGGAGUACGCCUGUUCGAGUGUUAUGAAGCUCUCAAAACGCAAUUGGCUUAAAACCUGAUUGUUGUUUUGGAUUUGAACUUUGCCGUGUUAUAACGGCUGGUUUUAAAAGUAUUAGCUGGUACUAGAACGAAUUGGUUCUACUCAACGUGAUAAUUAUCUGAUCGUUGAGGACAUUCCUUUCACGAGGAAUGGCCAUAGUAAAUUCAAUGGACUGCUUCUAAUCUGGCUUUAAUUCUUUAUUGGAUUAACCACUUUUCAAAUCUGACCUCGAAUCAGGUGGGACUACCCGCUGAACUUAAGCAUAUCAAAAGCGGAGGA